rnacentral:rRNA from 1 species
UACGUAGGGUGCGAGCGUUAUUCGGAAUUACUGGGCGUAAAGCGUGCGUAGGCGGUCUGUUAAGUCCGAUGUGAAAUCCCCGGGCUUAACCUGGGAACUGCAUUGGUGACUGGCAGGCUUUGAGUGUGGCAGAGGGAGGUAGAAUUCCACGUGUAGCAGUGAAAUGCGUAGAUAUGCGGAGGAACACCGAUGGCGAAGGCAAUCCCCUGGCCCUGAACUGACGCUCAGGCACGAAAGCGUGGGGAGCAAACCGG